rnacentral:rRNA from 1 species
AAUGAACACUGGCGGUAGGCUUAACACAUGCAAGUCAGACAGAAACGAUGAAGUGCUUGCACUUCAGGCGUCAAGUGGCGGACGGGUGAGUAACACAUGGGAAUCUACCUAUAGUUGGGGACAACAUAUGGAAACAUAUGCUAAUACCGAAUGUGCUCUAAGGAGUAAAGGAGCCCUCUCUUGAAAGGUUUCGCUAUAGGAUGAGCCCGCGUGAGAUUAGCUAGUUAAGGUAAUGGCUUACAAGGCAACGAUCUCUAGCUGGUUUGAGAGGAUGAUCAGCCACACUGGGACUGAGACACAGCCCAGACUCCUACAGGAGGCAGCAGUGGGGAAUAUUGCACAAUGAGCGAAAGCUUGAUGCAGCCAUACCGCAUGUGUGAAGAAGGCCCGAGGGUUGU